UUCAAACCCCUGGGCUCAAGGAGUCCACCUGCCUUGGCCUCCCAAAGUGCUAGCAUUACAGGUGUGAGCCACUAUGCCCCACCUAAUAAGCUAUUUUUGUAUGUGGUUAUUUUUGAGAUGGAGUCUCGCUCUGUCACUCAGGCUGGAGUGCAACAGCAUGAUCUCAGCUAACUGUGCAACGCCCACCUCCUGAGUUCAAGUGAUCCUCCCGCCUCAGCCACCCGAGUAGCUGGGAUUACAGGCACCUGCCAUCAUGCUCGGCUAAUUUUUGUAUUUUUGUCACAAUGGGGUUUCACCAUGUUGGCCAGGCUGGUCUUUAACUCCUGACCUCAGGUGAUCCACCCACCUCGGCCUCCCAAAAUGCUGGGAUUACAGGUAUGAGCCACCAUGCCCGGCCGUAUGUGUUUUAUAAUUUAUAUUUUUAGUAUAGUAGUCCCCUCAUAUUCUUGGGGGAUAUGUUCCAAGACCCCCAGUGGAUGCCUGAAACCACAGAUAGUACCAAACCCUAUUUAUACUAUGUUUUUCCUAUACAAACACACCUACGAUAAUGCGCAAUUUAUAAGUUAGUCACAGUAAGAAAUUAACAAUAAUUAAAAUAAAAUAGAACGAUUAUAACAAUAAGCCAGCAUCACAACUCUUGUGCUUUGGGGCCAUUAUGAAGUAAAAUAAGGGUGACGAACACAAGCACUGUGAUACCAACAUGGCUGAUCUGAUAACCAACACGGUUCAGGAUGCAAUGAGAUUUCAUCACGCUGCUCACAAUGGUGUGCAAUUCAAAACUUAUGAAUUGUUUACUUCUGGAAUUUUCCAUUUAAUAUUUUCAGACUACAGUUGACCAUGGGUAACUGAAACCACAGAAAGCAAAACCAGAGAUAAAGGCGGACUACUGUACAGUAUUUCAGGCAUACUACUUAUAAUUAAUACACAUUAAAAAGUUUCUCAAGGCCAGGUGCACUGCCUCACACCUGUAAUUCCAGCACUUUGGGAGGCUGAGGCUGGAGGAUUGCUUGAGGCCAGGAGUUUGAGACCAGCCUAGGCCAUUAGCAAGACCUUGUCCCUACUAAAAAUAAAAAUGUAGUCUGGUGUGGUGGUGCACACCUAUAUUCCUAGCUACUCGGGAGGCUGAGGUGGGAGGAUCGCAUGAGCCGAGAGGUUGAGGGUGCAGUGAGCCAUGAUCACGCCACUGCACUCAAGCCUAGGUGACAGAGCAAGACUCUCCAAAAGAAAAAGCUUCUCAAAAGCCCUAUGUAAUAAAUUUAUCUGUUUUUUUUUUUUUUUUUGCCAGAGUUCUAAGUAGAAGUCUGAAGUCUGAGUUAAUAUUUCUAGCUCUUCAUUUGGCUGUACAUUCUUGGUAUUGAGGCUUUUUUUUUUUUGAGAUGGAGUCUCGCCCUGCUGCCCAGGCUGGAGUGCAGUAGCGUGAUCUUGGCUCACUGCAACCUCCACCUCCCAGGUUCAAGUGAUUCUCCUGCCUCAGCCUGGAUGAGGUGGGAGGCUGGCUGGAGCUUGGGAAGUUGAGGUUGCAGUGAGCCAUGAUCAUGCCACUGCAUUCCAGCCUUAGCAAUAUAGUGAGACCCUGUCUCAAACAAACAAACUAACUAAAAACACCUGAGUUAUUAUUUUCUCAAUUCUCCCAAGGACAGUAUAGAGCCAAAGCCAUUCCAGAUAUGCUGCACAAAAGAUAAUCCAUUGAAGCCAAUGGAUUCCUUAUGGCUUUAAGGCUUAAUUCUCUCAUAAACCUGUUCUAGUGGCUUCCACAUUAGCGGCAACAGGAUGAAGGGAUAAACAGCCAAGUAUUCAUAUGAACAAUGUGCAAAGUGGGGAUAUGCAUCUUUAUAAUUGCCAGUAUAGCUACUGGGGCUACUCACACUAUAUUAAUUAUAAACUUGAGAAUUUACUGCAAAAUUGUAUCUGUAGAGUCACACAGGCUUCUGUUUACCUAGAUAAAGCAGUUGCAGAUUAGCAAAAAUGGUUAUAUUAAUUAUUAUUAUUAUUUUUGAGACAGAGUCUCAUUCUGUUGCCCAGGCUGGAGUACAGUGGCGCGAUCUCGGCUCACUCUCUCUCUCUCAAUCUCACCUCUGCCUCCUGGGUUCAAGUAAUUCUCCUGCCUCAGCCUCCCGAGUAGGUAGGAUUACAGGCACAUGCCUCCACACCCGACUAAUUUUUGUAUUUUUAGUAGAGACGGGGUUUCACCAUGUUGGCCAGGAUGGUUUUGAACUCCUGGCCUCAAGUGAUCCACCUGCCUCAGCCUCCCAAAGUGCUGGGAUUACAGGCGUGAGCCACCAUGCCCAGCAUGUAUGAAAUAUUAAAUGUCCCCACCAGCAACAUCUUAACUUAUUUUAUAGUUCCACAGUUUUACCAUUUUCCUACAGUAAUAAAUUACUUCCUGAAUAAUUUGUAAUUUCUCUCUACUUAAAAUUGAAAGAUUUUAAAAAGGAUAUCAAAUCAAUGUGAUGGUCUCUCACUAUUAAGUAUAGACAUACCAGUGAGAUAUUUAGUGUUAAGUUCCAGACUACUAAAAUAAAGUGAAUAUUGCAAUAUAGCAAGUCAAAAUUUUGGGUUUCCCAGUGCAUACAAAAGCUAUGUUUACACUAUAGUCUAUUAAGUGUACAAUAGCAUUAUGUCUUUAAAAAAAAACGAUGUAUACACCUUAAUUUAAAAGACUUUAUUGCUAUAAAAUGCUAAUCAUUAUGUGAACCUUCAUUAAGUUGUAAUCUUUUUGCUGUAUAUAAGCAAAAUUGUAUAUAACCAAAUAAAUUACAAAUUAAGCUAUCUCUUGAUCUGGGCACUAUAUGAAAUAUCACAAUGAGGGUCAGAAAAUGAGACCCCAAAAUAUGCUGCUUUGGACUUCAAACUCAGAGCAGCAAAUGCAGGAGAGGACUUUCUCAGAAGUUCUCCUAUCCACCUAAAGGACGGACAAAGACUUUACCAGGAAUCAUGAAUUCCUUCCUCAGGUAGAACCAACUAGGAGAAACUGGUGCCUAUUACAAGAAGGAAGACUAGAGUUGAUAUCUUGUGCCUCAGCCUCCCGAGCAGCUGGGAUUACAGGCGUGCGCCACCAUGCCUGGGCAAAGUGCAGUGAAGAAACACAUGUAAUGUCCCCACCAAAGGAAUCUGACAAGAAUCAGUCUCUUAAAGUGUACUACCCAUAUGUAAUUGAAAAGCUGCAUGCAAGAUACCAACUGAGGAUUAUAAUACCAGUGAGUAAGAACACAAGUCAACAAAAUAUUUCAAAACAAGAGAUGCUCAGUUGUGUUAAACAAAAACCAGGCACAGAAGAACUUUUUAAAAAAUGGAAAUGGAAACACUUUCUUGAAAAAGAAAAUUGUAUUUUUAGAAAAGCUACCCACAUAAAAAUAUAUCAAAAGAUAGAACUGCC